rnacentral:rRNA from 1 species
CUACGGGUCGCUGCAGUGGGGAAUAUUGCACAAUGGAGGAAACUCUGAUGCAGCAACGCCGCGUGGAGGAUGACAUUUUUCGGAGCGUAAACUCCUUUUAUAUAGGAAGAAGAUGACGGUACUAUAUGAAUAAGCGCCGGCUAACUCCGUGCCAGCAGCCGCGGUAAUACGGAGGGCGCAAGCGUUACUCGGAAUCACUGGGCGUAAAGAGCGUGUAGGCGGAUUAAAAAGUCAGAAGUGAAAUCCUAUAGCUUAACUAUAGAACUGCUUCUGAAACUCUUAAUCUAGAAUAUGGGAGAGGUAGAUGGAAUCUCUGGUGUAGGGGUAAAAUCCGUAGAGAUCAGAAGGAAUACCGAUUGCGAAGGCGAUCUACUAGAACAUUAUUGACGCUGAGACGCGAAAGCGUGGGGAGCAAACAGGAUUAGAUACCCUGGUAGUC